AUUGCCAUUCUGAGCAAGUGCAGCAGGCAGUGUGCCUACAGCUCUGCAAAGAAACUUCAGAUAGCAGAUUCUGUCAACCACAUUUCAUAAAGAGUUCUGAUUCUAAGAGGACUUAUGGAGCAAGGAUGACUGACACAAACACAAAAAUCAUUCUGCCUGUUGAAUGAAUCAUAAAAUACUGUCUUUGAUCCAGGAGGCUUGUGUCAUCUGCCAGCAUUUAUGAAACUGUGCUCCAAGUAGGAAUCUGGAGAAAAAAAGCUAUGAAGAGCAAGAGGUGGUAGAGAAUGGUGUUGUUGAAAUUGCCUGACAUCACUGGAGAUAAUUUGCCCUGGAAAGAAGCACUCCUUAGGGAGGAGCAUCUGCACAUUCCAUUAGCAUAAAGCACCUGGUCAGCCAUAUGAAGAAGUCUGGAUUUUGUUUUAAAUGUGAAAUUUAUUUUAAAUGGAGGAUUUGAAACAAGGGAGUAAUAUAACCUGACAUAUUUUAAAAAAUCACUCUGGCAGCUGCGUGGGGGACAAACUCUGGGAGGACAAGAGGAGAUGUGGAAGGGAGAAGGCGGCUAAGAGUCUGUCCCAGGAUUGCAAAGAUUUCGGAGCCCGGCCUCAGGUGGUAAUGGUGGAGGUGUUAGAAAUGGCUGGAUUCCACAUAUAUUUUGAAAGGCCAGCACAUGGAAUUUGCUUAUGGAUGUUCCAUAAAUAAGAGAAAAAGAGGGCUCAGUGAUGAUUCCUGGGCUUUUGACUUAAGCAACUAGAAGGAUAAAGUCUCCAUUAACUGAUAUGGGGAAGACUGAGGAAGGAGACGCUGUGUAUGCCAGGAUUGGGCUGUGUGUGUGUGUGUAUGU
rnacentral:lncRNA from 1 species